UACAGAGGUCCCAAGCGUUGUUCGGAUUCACUGGGCGUAAAGGGUGCGUAGGCGGUCGGGUAAGUCUGAUGUGAAAUCUCACAGCUUAACUGUGAAACUGCAUUGGAUACUAUCCGGCUAGAGGAAUGGAGGGGAGACUGGAAUACUUGGUGUAGCAGUGAAAUGCGUAGAUAUCAAGUGGAACACCAGUGGCGAAGGCGAGUCUCUGGACAUUUCCUGACGCUGAGGCACGAAAGCCAGAGGAGCAAACGGG
rnacentral:rRNA from 1 species